rnacentral:rRNA from 1 species
UAAGAAGGCAUCUUCUUCUUUUUAAAAGACCUAGCAAUAGGUAUGCUUAGGGAGGAGCUUGCGUCACAUUAGUUAGUUGGUGGGGUAAAGGCCUACCAAGACUAUGAUGUGUAGCCGGGCUGAGAGGUUGAACGGCCACAUUGGGACUGAGACACGGCCCAAACUCCUACGGGAGGCAGCAGUAGGGAAUUUUCGGCAAUGGAGGAAACUCUGACCGAGCAACGCCGCGUGAACGAUGAAGUAUUUCGGUACGUAAAGUUCUUUUAUUAGGGAAGAAUAAAUGAUGGAAAAAUCAUUCUGACGGUACCUAAUGAAUAAGCCCCGGCUAACUAUGUGCCACACAGUGGAGGUUAUCAGUUGCACAGGUGGUGCAUGGUUGUCGUCAGCUCGUGUCGUGAGAUGUUGGGUUAAGUCCCGCAACGAGCGCAACCCUUAUUGUUAGUUACCAGCACGUAAUGGUGGGGACUUUAGCAAGACUGCCGGUGAUAAAUUGGAGGAAGGUGGGGACGACGUCAAAUCAUCAUGCCCCUUAUGACCUGGGCUACAAACGUGAUACAAUGGCUGUUACAAAGGGCAGCUGAAACGCAAGUUUUUGGCGAAUCUCAAAAAAACAGUCUCAGUUCGGAUUGAAGUCUGCAACUCGACUUCAUGAAGUUGGAAUCGCUAGUAAUCGCGAAUCAGCAUGUCGCGGUGAAUAC